UGUUUGAUGUUCUAACGUGGACCCGUGAUCCGGGUUGCGGACAGUGUCUGGUGGGUAGUUUGACUGGGGCGGUCUCCUCCUAAAGAGUAACGGAGGAGCACGAAGGUUGGCUAAUCCUGGUCGGACAUCAGGAGGUUAGUGCAAUGGCAUAAGCCAGCUUGACUGCGAGCGUGACGGCGCGAGCAGGUGCGAAAGCAGGUCAUAGUGAUCCGGUGGUUCUGAAUGGAAGGGCCAUCGCUCAACGGAUAAAAGGUACUCCGGGGAUAACAGGCUGAUACCGCCCAAGAGUUCAUAUCGACGGCGGUGUUUGGCACCUCGAUGUCGGCUCAUCACAUCCUGGGGCUGAAGUAGGUCCCAAGGGUAUGGCUGUUCGCCAUUUAAAGUGGUACGCGAGCUGGGUUUAGAACGUCGUGAGACAGUUCGGUCCCUAUCUGCCGUGGGCGCUGGAGAACUGAGGGGGGCUGCUCCUAGUACGAGAGGACCGGAGUGGACGCAUCACUGGUGUUCGGGUUGUCAUGCCAAUGGCACUGCCCGGUAGCUAAAUGCGGAAGAGAUAAGUGCUGAAAGCAUCUAAGCACGAAACUUGCCCCGAGAUGAGUUCUCCCUGACUCCUUGAGAGUCCUGAAGGAACGUUGAAGACGACGACGUUGAUAGGCCGGGUGUGUAAGCGCAGCGAUGCGUUGAGCUAACCGGUACUAAUGAACCGUGAGGCUUAACCUUACAACGCCGAAGCUGUU
rnacentral:rRNA from 1 species